CCAAGGAGUCUAACAUGUGCGCGAGUCACUCGGUCUUGAAUAGGCCAGAGAGGCGCAAUGAAAGUAAAGUUGAUUGAGUUACGAUCCUCAUGCGGUUAUCCUUUAGGGUAACGGUGAGGCGCAGUAACAGCCCGCCAAUUUCGCUUAUUGACGAUCUGGCGGAGUUGUAGCGUACACGUUGGUACCCGAAAGAUGGUGAACUAUGCCUGGGCAAGACGAAGCCAGAGGAAACUCUGGUGGAGGUCUGUAGCGAUUCUGACGUGCAAAUCGAUCGUCAGACCUGGGUAUAGGGGCGAAAGACUAAUCGAACCAUC
rnacentral:rRNA from 2 species